AGAGUUUGAUCCUGGCUCAGGGCGAACGCUGGCGGCACGCCUAAUACAUGCAAGUCGAGCGAUCGGCUGCGGGGAGCUUGCUCCCUGCAGUACGGAGCGGCGCACGGGUGAGUAACACGUGGGUAACCUGCCUCGAAGACUGGGAUAACCCCGGGAAACUGGGGCUAAUACCGGAUACCCCCCUCGGGUCGCAUGGCCUGAGGAGGAAAUGGGUUUCCGCUUCGAGAGGGGCCCGCGGCCUAUCAGCUUGUUGGUGGGGUAACGGCCUACCAAGGCUCUGACGGGUAGCCGGCCUGAGAGGGCGAUCGGCCACACCGGGACUGAGACACGGCCCGGACUCCUACGGGAGGCAGCAGUAGGGAAUCUUGCACAAUGGGCGAAAGCCUGAUGCAGCGAUGCCGCGUGAGGGAUGACGGCCUUCGGGUUGUAAACCUCUUUCAGCAGGGAAGAAGCCAUGGGUAACCAUGGUGACGGUACCUGCAGAAGAAGCCCCGGCUAACUACGUGCCAGCAGCCGCGGUAAGACGUAGGGGGCGAGCGUUGCCCGGAUUCACUGGGCGUAAAGCGCGUGUAGGCGGUUCGUUAAGUCGGGUGUGUAAUCUCGAGGCUCAACCUCGAAAUUGCAUCCGAUACUGGCGAACUUGAGGACGGUAGAGGCCGGUGGAAUUCCCGGUGUACCGGUGAAAUGGGUAGAUAUCGGGAGGAACACCAGUGGCGAAAGCGGCCGGCUGGGCCGAUCCUGACGCCGAGACGCGAAAGCCAGGGGAGCGAACCGGAUUAGAUACCCGGGUAGUCCUGGCCGUAAACGGUGCGGACUAGGCGUGGGGGGGGGCGUCAUGCUCUCUGUGCCGAAGCUAACGCGUUAAGUUCCGCCGCCUGGGGAGUACGGCCGCAAGGCUAAAACUCAAAGGAAUUGACGGGGGGCCCGCGCAAGCGGCGGAGCGCGUGGAUUAAUUCGAUGCAAAGCGAAGAACCUUACCCAGGCUUGACAUGCUGGAAGUAGGCGCCUGAAAGGGUGUCCCACCCGUAAAGUCGGGAACCAGCACAGGUGUUGCAUGGCUGUCGUCAGCUCGUGCCGUGAGGUGUUGGGUUAAGUCCCGCAACGAGCGCAACCCCCGCCAUAUGUUGCCAUCGGGUAGUGCCGGGCACUCAUAUGGGACUGCCGGAGAAACUCCGGAGGAAGGAGGGGAUGACGUCAAGUCAGCAUGGCCCUUACGCCUGGGGCUGCACACGCGCUACAAUGCACGGUACAACGGGCUGCGAUCUCGCAAGGGUGAGCGAAUCCCGAAAAGCCGUGCCCAGUUCGGAUCGGGGUCUGCAACUCGACCCCGUGAAGCCGGAGUCGCUAGUAAUGGCAGAUCAGCAUGCUACCGUGAAUGCGUUCCCGGGCCUUGUACACACCGC
rnacentral:rRNA from 1 species